rnacentral:rRNA from 1 species
GAUGAACGCUGGCGGCGUGCCUAAUACAUGCAAGUCGAGCGAACAGACGAGGAGCUUGCUCCUCUGACGUUAGCGGCGGACGGGUGAGUAACACGUGGAUAACCUACCUAUAAGACUGGGAUAACUUCGGGAAACCGGAGCUAAUACCGGAUAAUAUAUUGAACCGCAUGGUUCAAUAGUGAAAGACGGUUUUGCUGUCACUUAUAGAUGGAUCCGCGCCGCAUUAGCUAGUUGGUAAGGUAACGGCUUACCAAGGCAACGAUGCGUAGCCGACCUGAGAGGGUGAUCGGCCACACUGGAACUGAGACACGGUCCAGACUCCUACGGGAGGCAGCAGUAGGGAAUCUUACGCGAUGGGCGAAAGCCUGACGGAGCAACGCCGCGUGAGUGAUGAAGGUCUUCGGAUCGUAAAACUCUGUUAUUAGGGAAGAACAAAUGUGUAAGUAACUAUGCACGUCUUGACGGUACCUAAUCAGAAAGCCACGGCUAACUACGUG